rnacentral:lncRNA from 1 species
UUUAGUUUUAGUUUCAGUUUCACUUUUGUGUCCUCCUCCCCUUUAUUCCCAAUUCCAAAACCAAAAUCCCUAAGCUCACUACCUCCACCGAUCUAGCAAUGUUGUCCGUCGGCGCCGUUCACCACUUUUAUCUCCACCUCCCACCAGCUUCCUCUGUCUCCGACGCCCACCUGAUUUCCUCAAUAAGAAAUUUUCUUUUCACUUUCUUCUUGUUUGGUCACUGAGAAAACGAAGGAAAAUUUUAUGUUCUGAUUAAAUUUUAGUAUCAUUUUGUUUGGUCACCUGAACUGUACCUAAUUCGAAUGGAAACUGAGA